rnacentral:rRNA from 1 species
CCAGCACCUGCGGUAAUUCCAGCUCCAAUAGCGUAUAUUAAAGUUGUUGCAGUUAAAACGCUCGUAGUCUGAUGUAAUGGGGACUGGUGUGGGGAGCAGCAAUGCUUUUUGCUUCGGUCCUCAUCAACGGGUCAGCAAUGUCCCAUUUUACUUUGAGGAAAUUAGAGUGUUCAAAGCAGGCGAUUGCUUGAAUACUGCAGCAUGGAAUAAUGGAAUAGGACUCGCGUCUUAUUUUGUUGGUUUGGAGAUGUGAGUAAUGAUGAAUAGGGACAGUUGGGGGCAUUGGUAUUCAGUAGUCAGAGGUGAAAUUCUUGGAUUUACUGAAGACUAACUAGUGCGAAAGCAUUUGCCAAGGAUGUUUUCAUUGAUCAAGAACGAAAGU